GCAAGCGAGUCCGGUCCUUCCUCCCGUCGCCGGCGAGCGGCUGAGGCGGCCAUCCCUUUCUGGAUAGGAUACGACGGCUCGCGAUCCCCUCCCGCAGGCACCGAGCGCAGCCGGUGCCCGUUUGAUAUUGUUGGCAUGAUGGCGAAACGAUGCACGGACAUCUUGCUAGCUCCCCGGCCACGAAAGACGAUGCGGAUUGAUAUCAAUUCUUGCAGAUCGAGGUUCUUGCUCCCUUACAUCCCGGAUGAGGUGAUGUUCGACGUUCUGUUACGACUGCCAUCCAAGUCUCUCAUGCGGUUUAAGUCCGUGUGCAAGGCUUGGCACGCCAUGAUAUCAAGCCCAAUUUUCAUCAACGCUCACCUCGAGUGGUCAAAGCUAAAGCCAUCAUCACUGCUCAUGGCUCCUGGCUUUUACCAGAAGCAGAAGAACGGUCAGAAUAUUGCCUUUCUGAUGGGCCUCUAUAAGUACCAGGGUGGUAAUAAUAAUGUAGUGCAUCUGCAUGAUUUUCCACGUGAUUUUCCGCAGGUAUUGGAUACAUGGACUCGCCCUGUGCACUGCGAUGGUUUGCUCCUUGUUUCCAACAUGAGCAAAAAAAUGAUUAUCUACAACCCAUCAACAAGAGAGAUUGUUUCCCUGCCAAAAGGGAGCCGUAACCUUCAUAAGGGCACAGGGAUUGGAUUUGGGUUUGACCCUCGCAGCAGCAAGUAUAAAGUGGCGAGAGUUUUUUAUCAAAGGGAUGACAAAACAUCAAUGUUGGUCUGUAAGUUUGAAGUGCUUACCCUGGGCACUAUUAAUGUAUGGAGGCAAACUGAAGACCCACCUUAUCCAAUUGGUAAGUCGACUCCAGUUCAUGUGAAAGGCGCUAUCUACUGGAUGGUUUCUCGAACAUCACUUUGCCCAGAUCCACCCAACACACUUGUUCGAUUCUGUUUGACUGAUGAGAAGUUUAGUCUGUUUCCAUGCCCAUGCAAUGUAAAGCCUUCCUGUUUGACCGGAUUGGGGGAUGAAUUGUACUGCGGCUAUUUUUUCAGUCAACCACUCCAACUGGAGAUUUGGGGUUGUAGUGUUGUUGGGCAGAAACCUGAAUGGACUCGACGCUGCGCUUUACAGAUUCCACCUGAUGUUAUUAAGCGGCCUGUAGCAAGUCCUUUGGUUGUCUUUCAUGGAAAAAUUUUGCUGUUGGCGUUGAAAAAGGUCUACAAGUAUGACAUCCAAGCCUGUAAAUUGGAGAAAAUACCUUUAGUGGUUGAAGACUUCAUGUGCUAUGACCGCGAAAAUAAUAUGUACCAGACAUUCGAAGAAGGAAGUAAUGGAUUUCCAUCUAUUUAAUUAUGUUGAGAGUCUAGUUUCGAUUAGAGAAUUUUGAGAAAUCAUUCUUCUCGUGUUGUGUUGAGGAGUGAUCUAAGGUUACAGUAGAUGCCUUUCUUUCUGAGUAGUGUCAACCAUAGACAAUUCUUAAUGAGUUGGAUGUAUGCUUUCUUUUUCGAAGCUAAGUGGUUUAACAGUAACAAUGUAUUGUUCAUUCUAGUAUUAUGAAUUUUCCUUUACUCUCAUAGUCCUGUUCAUUUUGCUGCUGACAUUUGUGACAUUCUUCUCUUAUUUUUGCCAACGUUUUAUUAGGUACUUACAAGUUGGAAGACUUACAUCUGUCAUGCAAAUACUCUUGGCCAUGUUUUUCUUCUUGUCAAUUGAGAUAUAUAUUAACAUGUUAACAUAUCCUGUCAGUUGAGAUAUAUACUGCAACGAAAUAACUAUCUGCUUCUGCUACUACUAAAACUGUGGAAGGUGCUG
rnacentral:lncRNA from 1 species